rnacentral:rRNA from 1 species
UACAGAGGGGGCAAGCGUUGUUCGGAAUUACUGGGCGUAAAGGGCGCGUAGGCGGCCUUCUAAGUCAGACGUGAAAUCCCCGGGCUCAACCCGGGAACUGCGUCUGAUACUGGAAGGCUUGAAUUCGGGAGAGGGAUGUGGAAUUCCAGGUGUAGCGGUGAAAUGCGUAGAUAUCUGGAGGAACACCGGUGGCGAAGGCGGCAUCCUGGACCGACAUUGACGCUGAGGCGCGAAAGCCAGGGGAGCAAACGGG